rnacentral:lncRNA from 1 species
UUUUUUUUUUUUUUUUUUUUUGGGUUUUCUGCAAACAUUAAAGAAAAUGCAAAUUCGAUAUGAUGCAAAUAUGCGUCUCAUGAGUGUAUCCGGUGUACGAAGAACUGAUAAUUGCCCGCAGUAAAUAAAAUAGUAGUAUACAAAUGACAGAAAACGCUGUUCCUUUUGGCCUAUAAGUUCUCAAAGGAAGGAAAGUUUAGACACUCUCUCUCUCUCCCUCUCUCUUCUUAUUUUGUCUAUGCAUAAUUUCUUAUCUUGAUCCAUGUCUCCAGGUGUUCCAUAAUUUUCAUCGCAAAGAUUAGGCAGCCACUCUGAAGCUUUGCAAUCCAUCAGUUCUUGAAUUUUCAAUUUGCUCUACACAUCAAGUUAAUUAAGACCAUUAAUUGAUGCCCUGCUAUUGUUCAAACACGAUCGAUUUGACAUCAUUCCACCACCAAAAUCAAAAUGAUGCCCUCGUGAUUUACAUUGGCGAACAUGGAGGUCAAUUAAUUUGAAGCCGAUCAAGCCACCACCAAACAAAAUGUGUAGGCAUAUACAUGCACGAAGAGGAGCUCCAUUAAUCAUAUUGCCGGAUAAGUUUUUAGUGCUUCUCCCACUGCCAUUCAGUCAAAAGAGGUUGACCCAUGCCACUGCAUAGCACAAAUGGAGGGCUGGCAGUGCGCGGUGACUCGAAUUCAUCUGAUACUGUGUAACUUAUGACCAACUAUCAUUUCAAGAAUUUGUUGAAAAUAUGGCAGAUUCUUCUUUAAUUUUAAUUCAUUUUGCCCAUGGGUACAAUGGCUUUGGCGGAAGCCCUUAUACGGUCAACACAAGAAAAAGUUAGAUGGGGAGAGGCGGCUGUCCCUCCUUUGCAUCCUCCACUGUUGGAAGCCAUUGAAGAAGUAAAUGGGGUGACGAUGAAACCAGUUUCAGAAAACUGCAUUUUGACCCCAAAUCUUCUGAGUAAAUGCAGUCAACCCCUAAAGCGUUUUAGUUUUUAGCUUUCCGUUUGGACUUCAUUAUUUUAAGUUGUACAUUGACUCAAUCACUUUCUUGAAGGACUAAUUUGUCAAGAUUGACUACUAAUUACAUUUAAUUAGCACCAAAUUGAAGCCUAAUUUAGCAAUUUCUAGCAUUAAUACGGGACUCUAAUUAACAUCACUAACACUGAAAUCUAAAAUUCUCAAAUGUUUGAAAUAUACUUAUGCUUUCCUCUUACAAUUUGAGUAGAUGUACAUAUAUGUGAGUAUUUAGCACAUAAAAAAUGUACUUACUCAACAUUUAUUAUGGUUUGAAAUACACAAUGGUUGUUGAAACAUCAAUUAAAAAUCUUAUACUAUUUAACAAUAAGUGAAAAAAAAUAAGAAAAUUUUUAGUUCUUGAUUUCCAUAGACUAAUAAAAAUAAAUAAUCCCUGGACAUUGUUGUGCUUCUAUAAGCCGAGUCAAAAAAUGUUUUUUUUUUUUGAUAAAAUAAAUACAAAAUGAAGUUUAAGAUGUACUAUUACAUGCAUUUUUCGUGAUUAAUUUAUUUGGUGAAUACGUGUCGCGGCGCCAUCGCGACUGAUACACUGCGAUUGAUUUGGAAUGGUGACAAUAACUCAGAACCGCAGGCGAAAGGUUGAGACAAGUUUUGCAGGUUCGUUUGAGGGAUCAGGUUUCUUGAGGUGCAGGACAAAGUCGUAGGACGUGUUCAACAUCCUCAAGAGUCUUGAUAGCAAAUCUGGCACGAAUCAGCAGUCAACAUUUUCCCACUCCUUGUAAGAAGGCUUCUUCUGGAAAGACGCGAUUGAACUGCCAGCCAAAUGAAACAUUCAAGUCUUGAAGACGUGUUGGCAUUCCAUACCCAAGAAUAGGAAUUGGGACGGAUUUGAUCCACCAUGUGUAAAGAGUUUUGAAGAAACGCAUAAACAGAAUUUGUAGAAAAAACGCUAUUAGUGGAAUAAAGCCAUUUGAUGACAUCAUUGGCAGCAUUAUAAGUUUGUCUCGGAAUGAAUGUAAUAGGACUUGGAAGUGUAAAAGAAAGCUUGGUCAGGUCUCUCAAAGUGGGUUUUUUUUUUCUUCUCAUGGAGCAAUCUCAUAGCGGUGUUAUCGCCAAAUAACUCGUGUUGACCCUCAAGACUGUAGGAAAAAUAGCUUAACUAAAGCUAAUAAAAGGUAGCUUAAGUUGUAUUUAAUAAUACUGUUCUAAGAAACUAUUUCAAGAAGUUGAAAUGUUUUUUCAAAAUUAAAUAAGCCUUCUUCUUGUUAUAAAUAAGAAGGAUGAGAACUAACAAAUGUUGCGUAAAUCCAGCACAGAGUGAAAAAAGAAUAAGAAGAAGAAAAAGUAGAAGUAGAAGAAGAAAACUGAUAGGAAGAUCUCUACUAUCAGCUUUUGGUGUGCUUUCUAAAGUAGGAGUAACUGCUAUUUAUAGACAUUAGAGAUAGGAUAAGAGAUAAUUUCUGGUAGUAUAAAAAGAAAAGUGCCUAAUUUUGUCAAACAGAAAACAAUGUUAAUAAAAGAACGUUGUGAACGUGCCUGACUUUUAUAACCGAUGGGAUAAGAUUUUAUCUUCUCGAUCAAACAUUGAAAAAAAUGUAAAAGAAGAAAAACUAUCUUGGGCCAUGUUUAACCCUCACGCAGAGUGUACAAAUCCGUCAGUUUGUACUGAAAUAGUACAAUUUAACUACCCUCUCAUGCACGUGAGUCUACACUAGUUACCAAUCUAACACAAGUCCAAUAAAAGACUAAGGCCUUGUUUGGCAAGCAAGUUUUUGACCAAGUUUGUCUGCUACAAGUUUUUUAAUAACUUUAACCACAAUAAUUUCAAAAAAUUUCUCAAAAUUUUUAAACUAUACAUUUCAAAAUAUCCAAAAAUUUACAUAUUUCAAAAAAAAUUUCUACAACUUCUAUAGUAAAUAACAGUAAAGUUUUAAACAAAUAUCUAAAAAAUUCACUUGCCAAGGCAAACGGGGCCUAAGCAUUAUAAAUGACGAGGAGUCCCUUUAAUUUUCCAAGGUGAGACAAGAUCUUUUGAAAUACACACUUUAUUUACAACAAAGACUUCUUCUUCUUUUCAAAGUGGCCCCUUUAUCAAUAUUCCAAGUGGGUCCUUGAGGGAACCACUUUUGUUCCCAAACUUACGGUAUUCACGCCAUUUCGAAUACCUUUGAGUUUUGAUUCCUUCAUCAUUAAUACAGGACCUCUUUGAAGACUUCUUAAAGUUGAUGUUGGAUCCUUUAGCAUGCUUAAGGAAUAAGCUUUCCAACUUAGCGUGGAUUUAUGUUUAUCAACAUACUUUCGACUGAUGCCUUUGGGUUUAGGGCUUCUCGCUCGCGUGCAUAACUUGCCAGCAAGGUUUAGCCAUGAAUGCCGAGACCACGUACCUUGACUCUUGGGGUUUCGUAGCUACCGCUCCCAUUUGACAAGCUGAAUGACUGAAUCUUCCUCCUUUCAUUAGUGGAUCCCCACAAGAAGUUUCCUUGCUCCCGAUCAAUGUCUUCACAGUUGUAACUAAGCGUAAAGAUUGGGAAUAAUUAAUAAGGAGGAAUGGUUGCUAUAGUUAAUUUGUUGAAUUAAAGCCCUGCUUCUACUUCGACUUCUUGCCAAUGAGAAUAUAGAUAUCCUUUCCGACCUUGAAGCUCGGGCUUCAUAAUGAAUGAGUCCCGAUCGGAGGCAAAAGUCUUCUAAAACACGUUUAAUUGCAGAGAUGGUAGAAUUUGGAUCUGUUUGACUGAACAAAAAGACAUCUUCGUCAGGAAAAAUACAAUGGGAGAUGGGCAAGCAAUUUCGUCCCAUAGAGAGGGUGUUUUCCUUUUGCACCCAUUUUCCACGGCCACAUUAAUUCCGCGAUGGAGGGACCGCCUUGGUGGAUUGCCCCUUGGUUGUUGAAACAACUCAGCAGAGGAGCCAUCUGAUUCUGGGUACGAGCUUUUAAUUAAAUGGUUACACCAUACAAAACAAAUUUCAUCCUGAUUGAAGGAAUGUGCUAUUGCUCUGGUAAAGUUGUUAAACAUGAUGAUUAAUUACACUCAGUUCAGAUAGAUUUAAAAUCUAUGUAUUAAUGCCUACUAGUAUCAAGCUAUCAUACUAAUGCUUAGUCAAGUUUUUACAGGUUCGGAUUUAAUAAGACCGUCGUCACAGUACUAAUUCAUUGUUAGUAUCAUAGCGUUCAAUAUGUGUCAAAUUCUCGUACUCCUAAACAUUUUUUUUUUACUCACAUGGUGACAUAGAAGCACUAGAAACAUGCCUUAAUUCAUCGUGAUAAUCGGAGUCGAAACUAUUCAAACUUUUUCCUAUCAGAGAAAAAAAAAAUAGAAGUAAUAAGAACACUAUUGAGUCCUUUCAGCGCAAGCUGGCGCAUGCACAAACUACAAGGUGAUAAAUGAAAGAAUUACGCACCAAACGAAAUAAUUAUGCGUUUGUGCAGAAGUACCCCAACGUUGUUCUGGUGCACAAGAUGUUGCCAAAUUCGGCUGAAAUCAAUACUCCCUCCGUCCCACUUUAAUAGUCUUGUUUUUCUUUUUGGUCUGUCUCAAAUUGUAGUCCACUUUCCCAUUAAGAAAUGUAGUGAUCUUUCAAAUUGUCUACAAUACCCUUAUUAAAUAUCUUGUUAUUAAUACAUUGUUAUUAAAUACUAACCCACUACAUUGAAUACAUUGAACUUUUCCAAUGCACUCUUCGUGAUUAGCAUAAGGGUAUUUUAGGAAAUUAUUACUCUAAAUUUAUGUUUCCAACCAAAUUAAUUACACUUUCUUAAUCUGUGUGAAAAAAAAAACCAAGACUAAGAAAAUGGGACGGAGGGAGUAACAUUUUCUUAUGGAAUAAAAUUAAAUUAAUAAGAUUAACAGGAUUCAUUUAAACUUUAAUGUGUAAUUUCAAACUGAGUCCUAACUAAGAUUGGCUUGCAACAUGCAACGCGCAUACUCUCAUGCAAGUUCGUAGAUAUAAGGACUGAUUUGCAAUCCGCUUGCCAAUGCUCGAAAUCUGAUCUGCGCAAACUUAUCCUUGCUUAAAUUGUGACAACGCCAAGCAACUGCCGGCCGUCUGCAACGUCAACCUCAGCAUUACCACUGAUCCUAACAUUGACUGCACCGAGUACGUUUACUUCUUUCGCCCCCAGAAAUUGGCUUUCGAUUUCACUACUUUAUUUUUGUUUUGACGUCCCUUUAAUCUUCAUCUAUUAUAUGUUAUAUGUCAUUCCUCGUCUUCGGUGUCUGGACUUUGAUUCUUAGUUUUAAGGGGAAAAAAAAAAGCGACUUACAACUUUUUGCCACUAUUUCUUGGUCCUUAGAACUAGAGGCAUCAAUUGCAACCCAAUUAUAUUGAUCCGUCCAAAUCCGUCUAUUAAUUUUGGAUGGGUCUAAAUGGAUAUUUAAUUAAGUCCAUUUAAUUGGUAGAUAAUGGAUUGACUUGAUUCAUCUAUUUAUAUUCAUUUAAAAAUAAUUAUACAUUUAAAUUUAACUUCUAGUGAGUGUUAAGCAAAUAAAUUUAAAUUUUUUAUCAAUCUAAUAACAAUAAAAUACUGUUAUUUCUUGUUAAACAACACGCAAAAAAUAGAAAAAAAGAUAAGCAAAAUUUUAAAUGACUGAUAAAUGGGUUGGUCCAAUUAUGAUCCGCUCAAAUCCGUCCGAAUCACUUACUCGUUUUGAUGCCUCUACUUAGAACCAAAUAGGUCAAUUUUAGCUGCUAUUUGCUAUUUUACACUCUUUCUCUUUCCUGUGGAACGUGACUCUUGCGUUGUAUGUGGCCGCAUCAAAGAGCAACACAAUGAAAUUGCUCAAGUUUUUUAAAUGCGGCUUAUGUAUUCUUAUUUCUAUAGUUGCACGAGUUUUUUUUUUUUUUGGAAUAAAUCUUUGAUUAUUUUUCCACAUCUGAAUUUUACUUUGAUUAUUUCAAGACCUUGGAAAUUACAUUUACAUUAAAGGAAAAGAAAUAUUCAAUGUCUAGUAAUCCUAUAUUUAUCAAGCCAAUUAAUAUUUUGGAUUAAUUAAUUACGGCAAGACAUACAGAAUACUUGACUUGGUUCAACUGUAUAUGGUUGUGUGAAUCUUUUACUAAUUGGCUUGAUGUUGUAAUAAUCUCUUAACAUAGGCCAACGAUUUCGGGACUUGGCACUCCUCUGAUUCUUUUUGCUCGAACAAAGCGAGUACUCAAGCACCCUGGCUCUAAACCACCUAACUUGGUGGGACCCAUUAAAAUGCCACGUUUAAAUGGUUUGUUUCAAAAAAUUCAGGCAGGUGUGUUGUGCAUAUAUUUGGUCUGGUGGUAGUUCAGUCCCCUUCCAAUUAUUCCUGGACCUCCUUAGAUCAGUCCUCUCCCCCUUAGUGUAGAAUAGAUUAUCUUAUACAACUGUUAUCGUCUCCGAAAAAAAAAAAACACCCUGCUCUAGAAUCCUUCAAGGUGAAAAUGAAUGCUUAAAUGGUUCUUUCUAUAUUCUAAAUUUAGAUAUAAAUGAAAGAAACUGUUGUCCGUUUCUCCUAUAAACUGUCAUUCAAACUAAGGAAACGAAUUUGUUUUUUUUUUUUCUUAAUUUUUCUCUUCUCCUGUUAUUUUUUCUUUCAAGUAUUUUCAUCUUGAUCCCUUGUCUACAAGGAUCCCUACCGUUUUCUUAUUUGUCACUGCAAAAAUUCCGAAGCGACACUGGAGCUUUGCGAUCCUUCAGUUCUUGAAUUUUCAGUUGUCUCUCUAAUCGCAAAGUUGAUUGGGACCAUCAAUCCCCUGACAAGUUCAAGUACAAUAUCUUAGACAUUAAUUUCACCGCCAAAAUAAUUCCCUCGUUGAAUUACAUUUGUGGACAUGGGGGACAAUCAAUUUGAAGCCAAGCUACCACCGAAAAAGUAAUUGUGUAGACCGUAGACCGUAGACCAAUAUGCACGAAGAGGAUCUCUAUGUUAAUCUUUUGCUGCAAAAUGUUUUUAGUGCUUUUCCCACUGCUUCUAAGUCAAAAAGGUUGACCCAUAGUGAAAUUGCAGGAGAAGGAUCGCAAGGUGACACAAACACAAGUUGACUCAUGAUGGAUCUUUUUCACACAAAAGAUGGAUAUUAGUGUGUUAUCAGACGGUUUAUAAAAAUUUCUAUACGAAAGCAUAUCUUAUCUUCUAGUAGUAAUCAAAACCAAACUCAUUCUUGUUUGGAUUGUGAAUUAUUAGAGACAUUUUUACUGUAGCACUUUUUGUGAUGUGAUGUAUGUGAGAUAAAAAGAUAAUUGAGAAGAUAAAAAGGUGUGUUGGAAAUUGUAAUGAUGAUGUAAGCAAAUAUAUUUUGACAAAUAAAUCGCAAUCCAAACAAAGCAGGUGAUUCGUAAUCAUCUGAUACUAUAUAACUUAUAAUCAACUAUCAUUUCAAGAAAUUGUCAAGAUGCUAAAAAUAUGGCUGAUUUUUCUUCAAUUUUGUGGUCCACGAGUACAGUGGCUUGGCAAAAGCUCUUAAACUAUUAACACAAGAAAAAGUUGGAAGAGGAUUCCAAAUUCUAAUUGAAACUAAAGACAUGUUUUUCUAGGGAAAAAAAGGUUAUUUGGAUGGCCUAUUUUUGGUCUAUUCUAGAAAAACAGAAUUUGUUUAUAACACCAUCUACGAUGACACUCUAAACUAUCUACAAGUUUUAGAAAAAUAUCAAAAAAAUUUAAAUAGAAUGUCGGUGACAGAGGUUUGUGGGUGGCACGAGGUAACUUUUUGAAAAAGUAGAAGAUGUUUUGAGUGUAUUAGACAAACACCAGCAUUUUUUUUAUAAAUAAUUAUAGUAAAUUACAAUAAAGUUAUAGACAAAUACUCACAAAAUAAAAGACAAAUACUCAAAAAAAAACAUAUCAAAUUUCGCUCCAAAUUCCAAUUUGUAAAAGACCGUCAGCACGCUACCGAGUAUUCUUCAAAUACUAAUACGAGUGCCAUAGCAGUCAAUUCCUCGUCUUCCUGAACAAAAUAUUUUUCGAAUGGCAUAGAAGUUAUUAGAAUAACCGCAAGCACACGCCACAAGGCACAGACCAGAAGGAAAGAAUCAAAGCUUUAGGCACCAAUCAAAAUAAGUGUGCAUUUAUGCACGUAGCUAGCUAGCAAGCGGUAUUUGCAUUAUGAACAAGACGGAAUUGACUGGUUGCAUAUGUGUUGAUAGGGUGCCAAUAUGACGACAAAUACAGCACGAAAAUAAUUCUCACUUUUUAAUUAUGCGGGCUCAGAGGGAAUGUGCAUAAUGCCUCGUGACACAUUCUCCACUAUUUUAUACAUUGUACUCUUCUUAAUUGGUUAAUUUGGCGAUCGAUUACGGUAUGAGAUAAGUAAAGUUGUGGUAUGUUAAUUUUGGUCCGUUAUUUUAUAUGUUAUACUUAUUGAUGUACAAAAUAUUACGUUAUUGUAUUAAAUGUGUGCGAAAUAUUUUAUUUAUGUAUACGAACUUUUUCUCGAACGCAACAAUAUGAUAUGGUUAUACUUACGCCAACCAGACUAUGAUACUACCCGUCAGCUACUACUGGCUAUCAGUGGUAAUUUUAUUUAUGAAGUCUUUCAUUUAUCUUUCAACAAAGAAAUCAGAAUUAAAUUAUUAACUCUGAAUUCCAAGUGUUUAUUUCAAAAAUCGACACGAAGUCAUUCAUGUAUCAGCUAGGAACAUAUAUAUAUAUAUAUAUAUAUAUAUAUAUGUCAACUUUGUGUGGGGAAAAACUUCAAAACAAUUAGGAAUUCAAAAGUUGACAGUCAAUACAUGAGAGAGUUGACUACAAGAACCCUUCUCCAACGGGGGGUGUAGACUUUAAACACCAAAUUAAAAAUUUUAGUUUCAUGAAAAGAAAGAAAAAUAAUUAAUUAACAACGUAUUUUAUCCUUUUAUGCACUAUAAAUAGGCAUCCAUAUACCAUCAUAUUGCUCAUUGCAGUAGUAAGCUUACACAGAAAAGUACUCCCAUCUUUUCCAACCAGACACAUUAAAAGAUAUCGACUGAGAUGGGAAAAAAAACCAUACCCGAUUCUUUUAUAAGGUGGAUGGGCAUGGUGGUUUUGGCAUUGGUUGUCAGCCCAGGCAUAGCCACCAAGAGCGCAUUCGACUGUCGAACCCUCCUGGGACUACUUGCUCCAUGCCAACCUUUCUUCUUCUCUCACACCCAUUCGCCCAGUCCUGAUUGCUGUGUUGGUGCACAGGCGCUGGGCAUCAUACUUGAGUCGUCGGAACCGAACAUGAAAUCUUCCUGCUAUUGCUUGAAAGGAGCUGGAAGGCUGCACGCUGUCCCUCCUCCGAUAGUUACCCAAUUUGUUUCAUCCUGCAACAUCCAUAUCAACAUGACAAUUGAUCGCAACUUCAACUGUUCCAUGUAUGUGUUUGCUUCUUUCCUUUCAACCAAAGUUUUCAUUUUUACUUAUACUAAUUCAUUUGCCCGACUUGAAAUUUGGUGGUAUGCAGAUUCUAAAUCGCGACACAAAUCCGCCAAAGGAAGGAAGAGUCACUCCUCGCCACCACGGUGGAAACAUAGCAUAAGGAAAUGUUUCUUGCAAACUUUUUAAGUCUUUUUGUAUCGGUGUGGAACUUAUUUCUGUAGCAAUAAUGAAGCAGAUGUUUCUUUUAUCAUACGUCUUUUUGCUCCUCGUUCAUUGUUCGAUCUCAAUUAAUAAUUUAAGAUGAUGUUUCGAAAAGAGUGGAAGCAAAACAAGAAAAAAAUGCCGUAUAUCGUUUUCUUUCAUUAUCUUGUAUCAUGAGCCAAAGUCAUACGUAUCACGGUAAAGCCAUUGAACCCUACAUAGCACAUGAUGAAGCGUGUUCGCAAAGAAAGGAAGGAAAAGGAGAAAAUAAAAGAGAAGAAAAUUUUAUAUAGUUCCGAAACCAGUUCCCAAUUCAACUUAGUGCGAGGAAUUCUUCUCCGACUUGCAGUCACAUCUUGUACUAUAGCAGCCACAAUGUCAAUAGCAGAGACAGGUUUCCGCUGAAAGAUUGCUUGUUUUCUCACUUUCCAUAGCUGAUAUCAUACACUACGGCUGCAAAGUGCAAACACUAACCUCCUAACCUGAUCAGGAAAACAAGUUAGAAUUUCGGGGCUUACAAAGCUUUAUCCGCCCAUUGUAAGUUAUCGAGAACAAGCCCUGUGCUAAUAAUGAUUGCAAUCAAUAGUUGAAUGUCUGUUGAUUCACAUCAAAUGGACGGUAUAUUUGACUCAUCAUAAGCAGAAUUUGACAUCUACUUGCGAGUGGUGGACUCAUCAUAGCCAGGGUGCAGCUCAAAUUCUCGACCAUUCAAGAGUAGUGGAACUCCAUUUUCCGACAUCAUCUCAAUCAACAUGGUAACUAACACCCGCAUAGGUUGCUCAAAGUAUAUCAGCUCUUAAUUUCUUGCAAAGGUUUCAUUCAAUUGCCACUGAGUUGCAAACUAGUGGGUAGGCUUGAACUGUGGUAGUAUGUGAACGUGUAAUAAUCACACGAGCACGAGAAUUAUCAUAAAUCACUCAACAUCAUUUUUCUUACACCAUCCUAUAGCUAUGUAUCAUACCAAAUGGUCCAGUCUUUGCCCUUAGGUAGAUGUAAAACUGAAUUUUUUUAUAUUUGAGUUCUGUCCUAGAAAUAGCUUACUUCACUUUCAUAUAUUUGGUCGAGACCGCAAUUGCCAAAAAGCCAAAAAGAAAAAAAAUUUCUCCCAGAGUCUAAUCUCAGAUUGGGAUUCGGAAAUUGUUAUACAGUCCAAACCAAAAUAUAGCCUGAUUCUAGGAAUGUGCAGUCGCUCGGCCCCCAUUGGUCAAACUUGCAUUGCACUCAGUUCAAGUAGGCAGGUUUUAACUCUUAAAGUGCCCACUCCUAGGCAAAAAGGUGGCAUUUUCUUUGGUACAUUCAGUUUUGCGAACUAAAACUUUUUGAGAUUCUCAAAUUGCACCGUCUAAAAGUUUUGCCAAAAUGAAACAAUCGACGUUUAUUUAGCAGAAGAGAAGACAGAGUGCCCUGAAUUUUCUUUCAGCAACACCACCUGUACAAGGGUACUUAGAAUACCAUUCAGUUCUUUUAGCUGAGGAAGCAUAUGACCAGAUCAGGCACUAGCUACAAUCAUUCGACUUAAAGAUCAGGGCAAACAAUAAGCUUCUCUCUCUCUCUCUUAUAUGCACGCGCAUGCAAUAUUGUGAACAGCCCACCAGAGGAGUGAUUU